AAAAAAUUAGGGUUCUUGGAAAAAUGGGCGUUCAUAGAAAAAUUAGGGUUCUUGGAGAAGUCACAAACUUUUACUAGAGGUCGUGCAAAAAGAGUUUUGAAGAAGGCUCUUCAGUAGCCUCCCUUGAGAUCGUUGACAACAUCGUAUGGCACAGGAGUGACAGUCUCUAGCGUCGCGCCCUCGACGAUAAAUCCAGGCUUUGGCCCCGCGGGCUGGCGCUUGAGGCACGUCUUGUUGCCACUCUUCCUCGCCUCCGCACUGCUCUUGAUUCUCUUGAGGAAAUCCUCCCGGCAGCGCGAGGGCUUGACGUGCUCGAUCCGGACGUGUAGCCUCUUCUUGAUGAUCCUGUUCCCCACCUAGCAGAAGAAGCCAAGAAUCCACAUCAAAAUCUUGCGAAAACCCACAUCGAAUUGGAAUAGAAAGACGAAAAGAUUGAUG
rnacentral:lncRNA from 1 species